AGAGAACGUUGCAUGAUGGUCCACUUAGUGGCUAAGAGUUGAAUGGAGCUGAUAUAAACAAUAGGCCACCAAGUGACUAGUUGGUCACCUGAAGGAAGAAUACCAAUAAGAAAAAUAUCUUGAACUUGUUCUCCUGACUGGCUGAAAUUUUAUAUUCUUUGCCCAACAUCUCCUCAAUCCUCAGCCCUCUCCAUGCUAGUUCCUGAU